rnacentral:rRNA from 1 species
GACGAACGCUGGCGGCGUGCUUAACACAUGCAAGUCGAACGAUGAAGCCGGAGCUUGCUCUGGUGAAUUAGUGGCGAACGGGUGAGUAACACGUGAGUAACCUGCCCUUGACUCUGGGAUAACUGCUAGAAAUGGUAGCUAAUACCGGAUACGACCCUCGGCGGCAUCGCCAGGGGGUGGAAAGAAUUUCGGUCAAGGAUGGACUCGCGGCCUAUCAGCUAGUUGGUGAGGUAACGGCUCACCAAGGCGACGACGGGUAGCCGGCCUGGGAGGGUGACCGGCCACACUGGGACUGAGACACGGCCCAGACUCCUACGGGAGGCAGCAGUGGGGAAUAUUGCACAAUGGGCGCAAGCCUGAUGCAGCAACGCCGCGUGAGGGAUGACGGCCUUCGGGUUGUAAACCUCUUUUAGUAGGGAAGAAGCGAAAGUGACGGUACCUGCAGAAAAAGCACCGGCUAACUAUGUGCCAGCCGCCGCCGUAA